ACCCAUCAAUAUGCAUCUGACCUGUGUGAAUGUAUGCUACUUAUCAUUGGUGCUAUCGUGCGUGGUUAACAGGGGUUGUUCCUUUCGAGUCAAUUUGACAAAAGUGGCCGAGAGGUAUAUUGAGAACCAGAAUAAGACAGAAGAAGGUAAAAUUACCAGCUGGGGCCUCACAAGUGAAUAUGCCUACUGGAAGCAAAAAGGGAAACAGACUCA
rnacentral:lncRNA from 1 species